rnacentral:miRNA from 1 species
UCUGGGGAAAAAAAGACAGAUUUUUGGGAGGAGAUUUUACUAAAAAAUCUCCUCCCAAAAAUCUGUCUUUUUUUCCCCAGACAAA